rnacentral:rRNA from 1 species
UACGAAGGGGGCUAGCGUUGUUCGGAAUUACUGGGCGUAAAGGGCGCGUAGGCGGUCUUAUAAGUUUGGUGUGAAAGCCCUGGGCUUAACCUGGGAACUGCAUUGGAUACUGUAAGACUUGAGGCCGAGAGAGGGAAAUGGAAUUGCGAGUGUAGAGGUGAAAUUCGUAGAUAUUCGCAAGAACACCAGUGGCGAAGGCGAUUUCCUGGCUCGGUACUGACGCUAAGGCGCGAAAGCGUGGGGAGCAAACAGG